rnacentral:rRNA from 1 species
AUUGAACGCUGGCGGCAUGCCUUACACAUGCAAGUCGAACGGCAGCACGGGAGCAAUCCUGGUGGCGAGUGGCGAACGGGUGAGUAAAGUAUCGGAACGUGCCCAGUCGUGGGGGAUAACGUAGCGAAAGUUACGCUAAUACCGCAUACGAUCUAUGGAUGAAAGCGGGGGAUCGCAAGACCUCGCGCGAUUGGAGCGGCCGAUAUCAGAUCAGGUAGUUGGUGGGGUAAAGGCUCACCAAGCCGACGAUCUGUAGCUGGUCUGAGAGGACGACCAGCCACACUGGGACUGAGACACGGCCCAGACUCCUACGGGAGGCAGCAGUGGGGUAUUUUGGACAAUGGGCGAAAGCCUGAUCCAGCCAUGCCGCGUGCAGGAUGAAGGCCUUCGGGUUGUAAACUGCUUUUGUACGGAACGAAAAGGUUUGGGCUAAUAAGCUGAGCUCAUGACGGUACCGUAAGAAUAAGCACCGGCUAACUACGUGCCAGCCGCCGCCGUAAAAC